GCAUUGGUGGUUCAGUGGUAGAAUUCUCGCCUGCCACGUGUGAGAUCUGGGUCCGAUUCCAGGCCAAUGCA
rfam:Danio rerio chromosome 4, GRCz11 reference primary assembly.